rnacentral:rRNA from 1 species
CCCUUAGAUGUCCUGGGCCGCACGCGCGCUACAAUGAUGCAACCAACGAGUGCUGCUCCUUGGCCGAGAGGCCCGGGGAACCUUGCAAACUGCAUCGUGCUGGGGAUAGAUGAUUGCAAUUCUUCAUCUUGAACGAGGAAUGCCUUGUAAGCGUGAGUCAUCAACUCGCGCUGAAUACGUCCCUGCCCUUUGUACACACCGCCCGUCGCUCCUACCGAUUGAGUGGUCCGGUGAGGCUUUGGGAUCUGAGCGGAAAGAGCGUUUCGCUGUUUCUGCCCGGAAAACUCAGUCGAACCUUAUCAUUUAGAGGAAGGAGAAGUCGUAACA